ACUAGGAAAAAAUCAGCAAAUAUAUAGAAAACAUGAACAACAAGAAUAAAUAAAAGACAUAUCACCAAAUAGGGCAUGCUAACCAACUUCUCACAACCCUCUGGGAUGAUGCCUGGUUUGCAACACCAAAUAAGCCCCCAGAAGAUGAUAAUCCCAGGAGAACUCCACAACAAACAUUCUUCAGGCUAAUGUAUGUCUCAGAAUCUGUUUUCUAGCACCUGGGAACCCAACUGGCCAUGGUGUAUGUCAAGCACUGUAUUGAGAAAAAAAACCACAACAAAUGUUUGGAAAAGAUAAGAGGCUUGUUAGUAAUUUUCAUAAACCUGAUAUAAUCAGAAGCAGCAUCCAAGUCUAGAUUGGAAAGAUUUCUCUCAAUGUCUCCAUGAAGAUUUCCCUCAAAGAAAGCUGAUGUCUAAGAUCAUACUACUGAAGGAGGAAAUUGGGUACAUUUAACUGCAGAAAAGGUUAGCCUGGAUUAUUAAGAGCUCUUUUCCUGAUGGGCAGAUCACAGAGACAGAAUUGCUAUGUCCCAUCUUGUCACAGACCUUUUGUCAUCUACUAGGAUGAGAAUGUUGAACACUGAAAAGAAAAAACAGA